rnacentral:lncRNA from 1 species
AGGAAAACGCACAAAAACGUUACACAGGCAUAGAUCAUUUAUGUCACAGCAACUACUAUGUGAAAUGAAAUGAUUCCGACCAAUGGCGCAGCACGUUUACGCUGUUGUCGGCUCGCACUGGUGUUUUCGGCAGCACUGACAAAAAUAUUAUAUGAGCGAGAA